GUGAAUCAUCGAAUCUUUGAACGCAUAUUGCACUCUCUGGGAUUCCAGAGAGUAUUCCUGGUUGAGGGUUAUUAAAAAGAAUCGUUUACCAAUUUUUUUUGGUCAAAGGAAAUGAGUUCUCCGCGUCUAUAGCGGUAGCUUGAAAUAAAUGGUAUUCUUAUUUUAGUCGAGACGCGUAAUAAUAUUAUUCCGCGUAUUCUUUAUUAUGUGACUAUCAAGUUUUGAUGCAUACAAAU
rnacentral:misc_RNA from 1 species